AUGCAUGUAUAAGUAUAAACGCAAUUUAGCGUGAAACUGCGAACGGCUCAUUACAACAGCUGUAAUUUACUUGAUCUUGAUUCCUACMCGGAUAACUGUGGUAAUUCUAGAGCUAAUACAUGCACCAAAGCUUCGAUCCGCGCUUGCGUGGRAAGAGCGCAUUUAUUAGAACAAAACCAAGCGGCUUCGGCCGUCCAUUGUUGACUCAGAAUAACUAAGCUGACCGCAUGGUCUUGAACCGGCGGCGUGUCUUUCAAGCAUCUGCAUUAUCAACUUUCGAUGGUAGUGUCAGUGACUACCAUGGUGGUGACGGUUAACGGAGGAUCAGGGUUCGACUCCGGAGAAGGGGCCUGAGAAAUGGCCACUACGUCUAAGGAUGGCAGCAGGCGCGCAAAUUACCCACUCUCAAUUCGAGGAGGUAGUGACGAGAAAUAACGAGACCGUACUCUUCAGAGGCCGGUCAUCGGAAUGGGUACAAUCCAAACCCUUUAACGAGUAUCUAUGAGAGGGCAAGUCUGGUGCCAGCAGCCGCGGUAAUUCCAGCUCUCAAAAUGCAUAGAAUUAUUGCUGCGGUUAAAAAGCUCGUAGUUGGAUCUGUGCCGGCGUGUCGGUCCACCCUUCGUGGUGCGUACUGGCAGCCGUCGGCUUUCCGCAGUCAUACGGCCCGUCGGCCUUCACUGGUUGGCGGUGUUCGUCGCUGCAAGUUUACUUUGAACAAAUCAGAGUGCUCACAACAGGCGUCCAGCUUGAAUGUUCGUGCAUGGAAUAAUAGAAGAGGAUUUCGGUUCUAUUUUAUUGGUUUUAUAGACUGAGAUAAUGGUUAACAGAGACAAACGGGGGCAUUCGUAU
rnacentral:rRNA from 1 species